UCUUCAGUUUGCGGGCAGCUCCCAUACCACGUGUCUUCCUGUGAUACAAUUGUGGAAACAAAUGAGUAAAUCGACAAUUGGAAGCUAAAACUAUAUUAGAACACACAGAGAAAUGCAAUCCACAUCACUGAAAUGCCACAAACAAGCAGGGAAAACUUUUCAAAUCAACAAUGAAAGACAUGCUACAAGAUUGCUACAUGCAACAGGAAUCAAUUGAAUAACGCACGUAAGAAAUCCGUUGCUUUCCAGUACAAAAUACCACUUGCCCUUAUGGGAUGGUUCAUGUUAAACCCUCACAAGAAGUCUAGCAACACAAUCAUUGAAACCUCUAAUUCAAUGAAAAGAUUCAAAAUUGUUCUCUAACUGUUGUCCACAUACUUUAAAUAGUAAUCCAGUUCAAAGUACUAAUACUACUUCUCAUAAUAAAAGAUAGAUCCAUUAAACUAAACUAAUCGGUCAUUGCUUAUAAUAGGCAUUUGGUGGCAUAAUAUUAAUUACUACGUAGCUUUAUUCCCAUGAAUUAAUUCGUCACCAUAAGCACUGAAAUUUUAAAUCAAUACAUAGAAACCUAAUUAUUUUAAGCAAAUCAGUCCUAGGAUCAUAACUAACUAACCUGCAACAUACAAGGAUCUAUACAACUAUAUCAUUAUAGCAAUAGGAAUCUAAAAAUGUGAGUGAAAUCAAAGAGAGGGAUCGUACCCCAUGGUUAGACAAGUUUCUUCGACGGUGACGAGGGUUUUCGGGGCGAAGGAUCAAGAGAAAAACAGGCGCAGCGGCUUGGUAAAACCCUAACCCUGAAAGUGGCG
rnacentral:misc_RNA from 1 species